UACGAAGGGGGCUAGCGUUGUUCGGAAUUACUGGGCGUAAAGCGCGUGUAGGCGGGUCCUUAAGUCAGGGGUGAAAUGCCAAGGCUCAACCUUGGAACUGCCUUUGAUACUGGGGAUCUUGAGUCCGGGAGAGGUGAGUGGAACUGCGAGUGUAAAGGUGAAAUUCGUAGAUAUUCGCAAGAACACCAGUGGCGAAGGCGGCUCACUGGCCCGGAACUGACGCUGAGACGCGAAAGCG
rnacentral:rRNA from 1 species